rnacentral:rRNA from 1 species
AGCGAACGCUGGCGGCAGGCUUAACACAUGCAAGUCGAGCGGGCAUCCUUGUGGUAUCAGCGGCAGACGGGUGAGUAACGCGUGGGAACGUGCCCUUCGGUUCGGAAUAACUCAGGGAAACUUGAGCUAAUACCGGAUACGUGCGAGAGCAGAAAGGUUUAUCUGCCGAAGGAUCGGCCCGCGUCUGAUUAGCUAGUUGGUGAGGUUACGGCUCACCAAGGCGACGAUCAGUAGCUGGUCUGAGAGGAUGAUCAGCCACACUGGGACUGAGACACGGCCCAGACUCCUACGGGAGGCAGCAGUGGGGAAUAUUGGACAAUGGGGGCAACCCUGAUCCAGCCAUGCCGCGUGAGUGAUGACGGCCUUAGGGUUGUAAAGCUCUUUUCUCCGGGACGAUAAUGACGGUACCGGAGGAAUAAGCCCCGGCUAACUUCGUG